ACUCCUACGGGAGGCAGCAGUGGGGAAUAUUGGACAAUGGGCGAAAGCCUGAUCCAGCAAUACCGCGUGUGUGAAGAAGGCCUGAGGGUUGUAAAGCACUUUCAAUUGGGAGGAAAACAGGCGAGGAUAAUAUCUCGUCUCUUGACAUUACCUUUAGAAGAAGCACCGGCUAACUCCGUGCCAGCAGCCGCGGUAAUACGGAGGGUGCAAGCGUUAAUCGGAAUUACUGGGCGUAAAGCGUUCGUAGGCGGUUAUUUAAGUUAGAUGUGAAAGCCCCGGGCUUAACCUGGGAACUGCAUUUAAAACUGGGUAACUAGAGUUUAGGAGAGGGAAGUGGAAUUUCAGGUGUAGCAGUGAAAUGCGUAGAGAUCUGAAGGAACACCAGUGGCGAAGGCGACUUCCUGGACUAAAACUGACGCUGAGGAACGAAAGCGUGGGUAGCAAACGGGAUUAGAAACCCCAGUAGUCC
rnacentral:rRNA from 1 species